GAGUUUGAUCGUGGCUCAGGACGAACGCUGGCGGCGUGCUUAACACAUGCAAGUCGAACGGUGACGACGGAGCUUGCUCUGUCUGAUCAGUGGCGAACGGGUGAGUAACACGUGAGUAACCUGCCCCCGACUCUGGAAUAACCGUGGGAAACGACGGCUAAUACCGGAUAUGAGACGCACCAGGCAUCUGUGUGUCUGGAAAGAUUUAUCGGGUCAGGGAUGGACUCGCGGCCUAUCAGCUUGUUGGUGGGUAAUGGCCCACCAAGGCGACGACGGGUAGCCGGCCUGAGAGGGCGACCGGCCACACUGGGACUAAGAUACGGCCCAGACUCCUACGGGAGGCAGCAGUGGGGAAUAUUGCACAAUGGGCGCAAGCCUGAUGCAGCGACGCCGCGUGAGGGAUGAAGGCC
rnacentral:rRNA from 1 species